rnacentral:rRNA from 1 species
UGGCUGUCGUCAGCUCGUGUCGUGAGAUGUUGGGUUAAGUCCGUACGAGCGCAACCCUUGUCCUUAGUUACCAGCACGUUAUGGUGGGCGACUCUAAGGAGGACUGCCGGUGACAACCGGAGGAAGGUGGGGAUGACGUCAAGUCAUCAUGGCCCUUACGGCCUGGGCUACACACGUGCUACAAUGGUCGGUACAAAGGGUUGCCAAGCCGCGAGGUGGAGCUAAUCCCAUAAAACCGAUCGUAGUCCGGAUCGCAGUCUGCAACUCGACUGCGUGAAGUCGGAAUCGCUAGUAAUCGUGAAUCAGAAUGUCACGGUGAAUGCGUUCCCGGGCCUU